rnacentral:rRNA from 2 species
GGUUAAGCGACUAAGCGUACACGGUGGAUGCCCUGGCAGUCAGAGGCGAUGAAGGGCGUGCUAAUCUGCGAUAAGCGCCGGUAAGGUGAUAUGAACCGUUAUAACCGGCGAUACCCGAAUGGGGAAACCCAGUGUGAUUCGUCACACUAUCAUUACGUGAAUACAUAGCGUAAUGAAGCGAACCGGGGGAACUGAAACAUCUAAGUACCCCGAGGAAAAGAAAUCAACCGAGAUUCCCCCAGUAGCGGCGAGCGAACGGGGAGGAGCCCAGAGCCUGAAUCAGCAUGUGUGUUAGUGGAAGCGUCUGGAAAGGCGCGCGAUACAGGGUGACAGCCCCGUACACAAAAGCGCAUGUGUUGUGAGCUCGAUGAGUAGGGCGGGACACGUGGUAUCCUGUCUGAAUAUGGGGGGACCAUCCUCCAAGGCUAAAUACUCCUGACUGACCGAUAGUGAACCAGUACCGUGAGGGAAAGGCGAAAAGAACCCCGGCGAGGGGAGUGAAAAAGAACCUGAAACCGUGUACGUACAAGCAGUGGGAGCACCCUUUGGGGUGUGACUGCGUACCUUUUGUAUAAUGGGUCAGCGACUUAUAUUCUGUAGCAAGGUUAACCGAAUAGGGGAGCCGGAGGGAAACCGAGUCUUAAUUGGGCGUUAAGUUGCAGGGUAUAGACCCGAAACCCGGUGAUCUAGCCAUGGGCAGGUUGAAGGUUGGGUAACACUAACUGGAGGACCGAACCGACUAAUGUUGAAAAAUUAGCGGAUGACCUGUGGCUGGGGGUGAAAGGCCAAUCAAACCGGGAGAUAGCUGGUUCUCCCCGAAAGCUAUUUAGGUAGCGCCUCGUGAACUCAUCUCCGGGGGUAGAGCACUGUUUCGGCUAGGGGGCCAUCCCGGCUUACCAACCCGAUGCAAACUGCGAAUACCGGAGAAUGUUAUCACGGGAGACACACGGCGGGUGCUAACGUCCGUCGUGAAGAGGGAAACAACCCAGACCGCCAGCUAAGGUCCCAAAGUCAUAGUUAAGUGGGAAACGAUGUGGGAAGGCCCAGACAGCCAGGAUGUUGGCUUAGAAGCAGCCAUCAUUUAAAGAAAGCGUAAUAGCUCACUGGUCGAGUCGGCCUGCGCGGAAGAUGUAACGGGGCUAAACUAUGCACCGAAGCUGCGGCAGCGACACU